rnacentral:rRNA from 1 species
AGGUAGCGCCUCGUGAAUUCACUCCGGGGUAGAGCACUGUUUCGGCAAGGGGGUCGAUCCCGACUUACCAACCCGAUGCAAACUGCGAAUACCGGAGAAUGUUAUCACGGGAGACACACGGCGGGUGCUAACGUCCGUCGUGAAGAGGGAAACAACCCAGACCGCCAGCUAAGGUCCCAAAGUCAUGGUUAAGUGGGAAACGAUGUGGGAAGGCCCAGACAGCCAGGAUGUUGGCUUAGAAGCAGCCAUCAUUUAAAGAAAGCGUAAUAGCUCACUGGUCGAGUCGGCCUGCGCGGAAGAUGUAACGGGGCUAAACCAUGCACCGAAGCUGCGGCAGCGACACUGUGUGUUGUUGGGUAGGGGAGCGUUCUGUAAGCCUGUGAAGGUGUGCUGUGAGGCAUGCUGGAGGUAUCAGAAGUGCGAAUGCUGACAUAAGUAACGAUAAAGCGGGUGAAAAGCCCGCUCGCCGGAAGACCAAGGGUUCCUGUCCAACGUUAAUCGGGGCAGGGUGAGUCGAACCCCUAAGGCGAGGCCGAAAGGCGUAGUCGAUGGGAAACAGGUUAAUAUUCCUGUACUUGGUGUUACUGCGAAGGGGGACGGAGAAGGCUAUGUUGGCCGGGCGACGGUUGUCCCGGUUUAAGCGUGUAGGCUGGUUUCCAGGCAAAUCCGGAAAAUCAAGGCUGAGGCGUGAUGACGAGGCACUACGGUGCUGAAGCAACAA